GGCGGUGCGCCUUAUGCAUGCAAGUCGAGCGAAGCUUUUCAGUAGUUUACUACAGAAAAUGACUGAGCGGCGAACGGGUGAGUAACGCGUGAGCAAUCUACCUUAGUUACAGGGAUAGCCCGAGGAAACUCGGAUUAAUACCUGAUAUUCUUUAUUUCUCGCAUGAGAAUAAAAGGAAAGGUCAGCCGAACUAAGAUGAGCUCGCGUUCUAUCAGCUAGUUGGUGAGGUAAAAGCUUACCAAGGCUACGACGGAUAGCUGGUCUGAGAGGACGAUCAGCCACACUGGGACUGAGACACGGCCCAGACUCCUACGGGAGGCUGCAGCAGGGAAUAUUGUGCAAUGAACGAAAGUUUGACACAGCGACACCGCGUGUGGGAUGACGGAUCUAGGUUUGUAAACCACUUUCAGGAGGGAAGAAAAUGACGGUACCUCCACAAGAAGCCCCGGCCAACUACGUGCCAGCAGCCGCGGUAAUACGUAGGGGGCGAGCGUUGUCCGGAUUUAUUGGGCGUAAAGAGCUCGUAGGCGGUUCAACAAGUCGGUCGUGAAAGUUCAGGGCUCAACCCUGAAAUGUCGAUCGAUACUGUUGUGACUAGGAUACGGUAGAGGUGAGUGGAAUUCCGAGUGUAGCGGUGAAAUGCGUAGAUAUUCGGAGGAACACCAAUUGCGAAGGCAGCUCACUGGACCGCUAUCGACGCUGAGGAGCGAAAGCUAGGGGAGCAAACAGGAUUAGAUACCCUGGUAGUCCUAGCUGUAAACGAUGGAUACUAGACGUAGGAACUGGAUUGACGGUUUCUGUGUCGUAGCUAACGCGUUAAGUAUCCCGCCUGGGGAGUACGGUCGCAAGACUAAAACUCAAAGGAAUUGACGGGACCCCGCACA
rnacentral:rRNA from 1 species